GAAUAUCAUUUGAAAGCUUCUGAAAUGGCUCUAAGACAAUGAGACUCUAAUCUUAACAUGGAGCUUUUUAAUUAGAUUAAAAAAGAUAAAGGAGGCUAUCAUGAUUGAGUUCAGAAAGUCAAUGCCCCUAGGUUUCUCAUAAAUUCACACUCUGGAGUGGGAUUUGGAUAGACUUUUAAAGAAAGAAGAAAUGUACUGGAAGCAACGUUCUAGAGAGGAGUGGCUAAAAUAGGAGACAAGAACAUAAAGUGGUUUCAUAAGAAAGGCACCCACGAGAAGGGAGUGAAAUAUGAUAAAAGGGAUCACAGAUGGAAAUGGUGAAUGGGUUGAGCAUGGGGAGGAAAUUGCAAAUGCUUUUAUUUCUUAAUUUGGUGAGUUAUUUUGCUCUUCUAACCCAAAUAUUAUGUAUCCUUCUGAUGUUUUGAAGGUGAUUCCUAGAAGGGUCUCAGCUGAAAUGAACCGAGCUUUGAUGUUCCCUUUCCGUGAAGCAGAAAUUAUAGCUACGAUUAAGGAAAUAUUUCCAGCUUUGGCACCUGGAAAAAGAGUAUUCAAGGCUGAAAUGUUAUAAACAUUGUCCUAAUUCCCAAAGUUGAAAAUCCGAGGCAAGUAUCUGAUUUCCGUCUUAUUAGUCUCUACAAUGUAUCCUACAAAAUUGUGGCGAAAGUGUUGGCGAAUCGUUUGACGAAAAUUCUAAAUGAUGUUAUAUCGAAAACUCAA